GACGAACGCUGGCGGCGUGCUUAACACAUGCAAGUCGAACGGAAAGGCCCUGCUUUUGUGGGGUGCUCGAGUGGCGAACGGGUGAGUAACACGUGAGUAACCUGCCCUUGACUUUGGGAUAACUUCAGGAAACUGGGGCUAAUACCGGAUAGGAGCUCCUGCUGCAUGGUGGGGGUUGGAAAGUUUCGGCGGUUGGGGAUGGACUCGCGGCUUAUCAGCUUGUUGGUGGGGUAGUGGCUUACCAAGGCUUUGACGGGUAGCCGGCCUGAGAGGGUGACCGGCCACAUUGGGACUGAGAUACGGCCCAGACUCCUACGGGAGGCAGCAGUGGGGAAUAUUGCACAAUGGGCGGAAGCCUGAUGCAGCAACGCCGCGUGCGGGAUGACGGCCUUCGGGUUGUAAACCGCUUUCGCCUGUGACGAAGCGUGAGUGACGGUAAUGGGUAAAGAAGCACCGGCUAACUACGUGCCAGCAGCCGCGGUGAUACGUAGGGUGCGAGCGUUGUCCGGAUUUAUUGGGCGUAAAGGGCUCGUAGGUGGUUGAUCGCGUCGGAAGUGUAAUCUUGGGGCUUAACCCUGAGCGUGCUUUCGAUACGGGUUGACUUGAGGAAGGUAGGGGAGAAUGGAAUUCCUGGUGGAGCGGUGGAAUGCGCAGAUAUCAGGAGGAACUCCAGUGGCGAAGGCGGUUCUCUGGGCCUUUCCUGACGCUGAGGAGCGAAAGCGUGGGGAGCGAACAGGCUUAGAUACCCUGGUAGUCCACGCUGUAAACGGUGGGUACUAGGUGUGGGGUCCAUUCCACGGGUUCCGUGCCGUAGCUAACGCUUUAAGUACCCCGCCUGGGGAGUACGGCCGCAAGGCUAAAACUCAAAGGAAUUGACGGGGCCCCGCACAAGCGGCGGAGCAUGCGGAUUAAUUCGAUGCAACGCGUAGAACCUUACCUGGGUUUGACAUGGAUCGGGAGUGCUCAGAGAUGGGUGUGCCUCUUUUGGGGUCGGUUCACAGGUGGUGCAUGGCUGUCGUCAGCUCGUGUCGUGAGAUGUUGGGUUAAGUCCCGCAACGAGCGCAACCCUUGUUCACUGUUGCCAGCACGUUAUGGUGGGGACUCAGUGGAGACCGCCGGGGUCAACUCGGAGGAAGGUGGGGAUGACGUCAAGUCAUCAUGCCCCUUAUGUCCAGGGCUUCACGCAUGCUACAAUGGCUGGUACAGAGAGUGGCGAGCCUGUGAGGGUGAGCGAAUCUCGGAAAGCCGGUCUCAGUUCGGAUUGGGGUCUGCAACUCGACCUCAUGAAGUCGGAGUCGCUAGUAAUCGCAGAUCAGCAACGCUGCGGUGAAUACGUUCCCGGG
rnacentral:rRNA from 1 species